rnacentral:tRNA from 1 species
GUUUUAGUGGUGUACUCUAACACAUUAUAUUUUCACUAUAAAGCUGGGACUUACUUUCCCCUAAAAUU